rnacentral:rRNA from 1 species
GACGAACGCUGGCGGCGUGCUUAACACAUGCAAGUCGUACGGUAAGGCCCUUUCCGGGGUACACGAGUGGCGAACGGGUGCGUAACACGUGCGUAACCUGCCCACAACUUUGGGAUAACGCUAGGAAACUGGAGCCAAUACUGGAUAUGUGCUCCUGCUUCAUGGUGGGGGUUGGAAAGCUCCGGCGGGUCUGGAUGGACUCGCGGCCUAUCUGCUUGUUGGGGCGGUAGUGGCCUACCAAGGCGGCGUCGGGUAGCCGCACUGCGAGACUGACCGGCCAUAUAGGGGCUGAGAGGAGGCACAGGCUGCGACGGGUGGCAGCUGUGGGGAAGCUUGACCAAUGGGCGCCAGCCUGAUGCAGCAGGGCUGCGUACGGGAUGACGGUCUUCGGGUUGAAGACCGUAUUCAGAAGGAACGGAGCUUUUUGUGACGGUACCUGCAGAAGAAGCACCGGCUAACUACGUG